CGGACGGGUGAGUAAUGUCUGGGAAACUGCCCGAUGGAGGGGGAUAACUACUGGAAACGGUAGCUAAUACCGCAUAACGUCGCAAGACCAAAGAGGGGACCUCGGGCCUCUUGCCAUCGGAUGUGCCCAGAUGGGAUUAGCUAGUAGGUGGGGUAACGGCUCACCUAGGCGACGAUCCCUAGCUGGUCUGAGAGGAUGACCAGCCACACUGGAACUGAGACACGGUCCAG
rnacentral:rRNA from 1 species